GAUGAACGCUAGCGGCGUGCCUAAUACAUGCAAGUCGAACGCGCAGCGAAAGGUGCUUGCACCUUUCAAGCGAGUGGCGAACGGGUGAGUAACACGUGGAUAACCUGCCUCAAGGCUGGGGAUAACAUUUGGAAACAGAUGCUAAUACCGAAUAAAACUUAGUAUCGCAUGAUACAAAGUUAAAAGGCGCUACGGCGUCACCUAGAGAUGGAUCCGCGGUGCAUUAGUUAGUUGGUGGGGUAAAGGCUUACCAAGACGAUGAUGCAUAGCCGGGUUGAGAGACUGAUCGGCCACAUUGGGACUGAGACACGGCCCAAACUCCUACGGGAGGCUGCAGUAGGGAAUCUUCCACAAUGGGCGCAAGCCUGAUGGAGCAACGCCGCGUGUGUGAUGAAGGCUUUCGGGUCGUAAAGCACUGUUGUAUGGGAAGAAAUGCUAAAAUAGGGAAUGAUUUUAGUUUGACGGUACCAUACCAGAAAGGGACGGCUAAAUACGUGCCAGCAGCCGCCGUAA
rnacentral:rRNA from 1 species